rnacentral:rRNA from 1 species
GAGAUGUUGGGUUAAGUCCCGCAACGAGCGCAACCCUUGUUGUCAGUUGCCAGCAUUAAGUUGGGCACUCUGGCGAGACUGCCGGUGACAAACCGGAGGAAGGUGGGGACGACGUCAAGUCAUCAUGCCCCUUAUGACCUGGGCUACACACGUGCUACAAUGGACGGUACAACGAGUCGCAAGACCGCGAGGUUUAGCUAAUCUCUUAAAGCCGUUCUCAGUUCGGAUUGUAGGCUGCAACUCGCCUACAUGAAGUCGGAAUCGCUAGUAAUCGCGAAUCAGCAUGUCGCGGUGAAUACGUUCCCGGGCCUUGUACACACCGCCCGUCACACCAUGAGAGUUUGUAACACCCAAAGCCGGUGGGGUAACCGCAAGGAGCCAGCCGUCUAAGGUGGGACAGAUGAUUGGGGUGAAGUCGUAACAAGGUAGCCGUAGGAGAACCUGCGGCUGGAUCACCUCCUUUCUAAGGAA